GACGAACGCUGGCGGCGUGCUUAACACAUGCAAGUCGAACGAAGAGCGAUGGAAGCUUGCUUCUAUCAAUCUUAGUGGCGAACGGGUGAGUAACGCGUAAUCAACCUGCCCUUCAGAGGGGGACAACAGUUGGAAACGACUGCUAAUACCGCAUACGAUCUAAUCUCGGCAUCGAGGAUAGAUGAAAGGUGGCCUCUACAUGUAAGCUAUCACUGAAGGAGGGGAUUGCGUCUGAUUGGCUAGUUGGAGGGGUAACGGCCCACCAAGGCGAUGAUCAGUAGCCGGUCUGAGAGGAUGAACGGCCACAUUGGGACUGAGACACGGCCCAGACUCCUACGGGAGGCAGCAGUGGGGAAUCUUCCGCAAUGGUCGAAAGUCUGACGGAGCAACGCCGCGUGAGUGAUGACGGCCUUCGGGUUGUAAAGCUCUGUUAAUCGGGACGAAAGGCCUUCUUGCGAAUAGUGAGAAGGAUUGACGGUACCGGAAUAGAAAGCCACGGCUAACUACGUG
rnacentral:rRNA from 1 species